rnacentral:rRNA from 1 species
GACGAACGCUGGCGGCGUGCCUAAUACAUGCAAGUAGGACGCAGUUGCGAACGGGUGAGUAACGCGUAGGUAACUGCAUAUGAGAGGGGGAUGACUACUGGAAACGAUAGCUAAUAACGCAUACAGGUAGAUGGACCUGCGUGGUAUUAGGUAGUUGGUAGGGUAAUGGGCUACCUAGGCGACGAUAGCUAGGCGACCUGACAAGGAGAUCCACCAACCUUGGAAUGAGACACGGCCCCAACUCCUACGGGAGGGAGCAGUUGGGAAUCUUCGGCAAUGGGGGGAACCCUUACCGAGCAACGCCGCGUGGGUGAAGAAGGUUUUCGGAUCUGUAAGCUCUGUUGUUAAGGGAGCGGUACUUAACCAGAAAGGGACGGCUAACUACGUGCCAGCAGCCGCGGUAAUUC